UACGUAGGGUGCAAGCGUUGUCCGGAAUUAUUGGGCGUAAAGAGCUCGUAGGCGGUCUGUCGCGUCGGAUGUGAAAAUCCAGGGCUCAACCCUGGACCUGCAUUCGAUACGGGCAGACUAGAGUUCGGCAGGGGAGACUGGAAUUCCUGGUGUAGCGGUGAAAUGCGCAGAUAUCAGGAGGAACACCGGUGGCGAAGGCGGGUCUCUGGGCCGAUACUGACGUGAGGAGCGAAAGCGUGGGGAGCGAACAGG
rnacentral:rRNA from 1 species